GAUAGGUCUCUGUCGCUACCGUGAUUGGACACUGACACUGAGUCAACUAGCCUUGUUCGCGCGGUUCUACGCGCGGGAACCGGAGGGCGGUUCGAGCCACGAGGGGGGAGGCUCGGACCGCCCGUC
rnacentral:ncRNA from 1 species